rnacentral:rRNA from 1 species
UACGUAGGGGGCAAGCGUUGUCCGGAUUUAUUGGGCGUAAAGAGCGUGUAGGCGGUUUGGUAGGUCCGUUGUGAAAACUCGAGGCUCAACCUCGAGACGCCGAUGGAAACCAUCAGACUAGAGUCCGGAAGAGGAGAGUGGAAUUCCUGGUGUAGCGGUGAAAUGCGCAGAUAUCAAGUGGAACACCAGUGGCGAAGGCGAGUCUCUGGACAUUUCCUGACGCUGAGGCACGAAAGCCAGGGGAGCAAACGGG